AGUGAACGCUGGCGGUAGGCCUAACACAUGCAAGUCGAACGGCAGCACAGUAAGAGCUUGCUCUUACGGGUGGCGAGUGGCGGACGGGUGAGGAAUACAUCGGAAUCUACUUUUUCGUGGGGGAUAACGUAGGGAAACUUACGCUAAUACCGCAUACGACCUACGGGUGAAAGCAGGGGAUCUUCGGACCUUGCGCGAUUGAAUGAGCCGAUGUCGGAUUAGCUAGUUGGCGGGGUAAAGGCCCACCAAGGCGACGAUCCGUAGCUGGUCUGAGAGGAUGAGCAGCCACACUGGAACUGAGUCACGGUCCGGACUCCUCCGGGACGCAGCAGUGGGGAAUAUGGGACAAAGGGCGGAAGCCUGAUCAAGCCUUACCGCGUGGGUGAAGAAGGCCUUCGGGUUGUACAGCCCUUUUGUUGGGAAAGAAAAGCAGCAGGUUAAUACCCCGCUGUUCUGACGGUACCAAAAGAAUAAGCACCGGCUAACUUCGUG
rnacentral:rRNA from 1 species